ACAUCUAAGUACCCCGAGGAAAAGAAAUCAACCGAGAUUCCCCCAGUAGCGGCGAGCGAACGGGGAGCAGCCCAGAGCCUGAAUCAGUGUGUGUGUUAGUGGAAGCGUCUGGAAAGGCGCGCGAUACAGGGUGACAGCCCCGUACACAAAAAUGCACAUGCUGUGAGCUCGAUGAGUAGGGCGGGACACGUGGUAUCCUGUCUGAAUAUGGGGGGACCAUCCUCCAAGGCUAAAUACUCCUGACUGACCGAUAGUGAACCAGUACCGUGAGGGAAAGGCGAAAAGAACCCCGGCGAGGGGAGUGAAAAAGAACCUGAAACCGUGUACGUACAAGCAGUGGGAGC
rnacentral:rRNA from 1 species